AUUGAACGCUGGCGGCAUGCCUUACACAUGCAAGUCGAACGGCAGCACGGGUGCUUACACCUGGUGGCGAGUGGCGAACGGGUGAGUAAUACAUCGGAACAUGUCCUGUAGUGGGGGAUAGCCCGGCGAAAGCCGGAUUAAUACCGCAUACGAUCUACGGAUGAAAGCGGGGGACCUUCGGGCCUCGCGCUAUAGGGUUGGCCGAUGGCUGAUUAGCUAGUUGGUGGGGUAAAGGCCUACCAAGGCGACGAUCAGUAGCUGGUCUGAGAGGACGACCAGCCACACUGGGACUGAGACACGGCCCAGACUCCUACGGGAGGCAGCAGUGGGGAAUUUUGGACAAUGGGCGAAAGCCUGAUCCAGCAAUGCCGCGUGUGUGAAGAAGGCCUUCGGGUUGUAAAGCACUUUUGUCCGGAAAGAAAUCCUUGGCCCUAAUACGGUCGGGGGAUGACGGUACCGGAAGAAUAAGCACCGGCUAACUACGUG
rnacentral:rRNA from 1 species